UACGGGGGGAGCAAGCGUUGUUCGGAUUUACUGGGCGUAAAGGGCGCGUAGGCGGCCACCGCAAGUCGACUGUGAAAUCUCCGGGCUUAACUCGGAACGGCCAAGUGAAACUGUCAAGCUAGAGUGCAGAAGGGGCAAUCGGAAUUCUUGGUGUAGCGGUGAAAUGCGUAGAUAUCAAGAGGAACACCUGAGGUGAAGACGGGUUGCUGGGCUGACACUGACGCUGAGGCGCGAAAGCCAGGGGAGCAAACGGG
rnacentral:rRNA from 1 species